GGCGUCACAAACCACGAGGAGGAGCAGCGUGUUCUCUCCUGAGCGUGAAGCGGGCGUGCGGUGCUGCUUGCGCAGGAGCCGCUCGUCAUUGGUGACCGUUCCCGUCCCACGUGUUGGGUCUGGGAGGGAGAGAACACAGGCUGAGUGGU